rnacentral:rRNA from 1 species
AGAGUUUGAUCAUGGCUCAGAUUGAACGCUGGCGGCAGGCUUAACACAUGCAAGUCGAACGGUAACAGGAGAAAGCUUGCUUUCUUGCUGACGAGUGGCGGACGGGUGAGUAAUGCUUGGGAAUCUGGCUUAUGGAGGGGGAUAACUACGGGAAACUGUAGCUAAUACCGCGUAAUAUCUUCGGAUUAAAGGGUGGGACUUUCGGGCCACCUGCCAUAAGAUGAGCCCAAGUGGGAUUAGGUAGUUGGUGGGGUAAAGGCCUACCAAGCCGACGAUCUCUAGCUGGUCUGAGAGGAUGACCAGCCACACUGGAACUGAGACACGGUCCAGACUCCUACGGGAGGCAGCAGUGGGGAAUAUUGCACAAUGGGGGGAACCCUGAUGCAGCCAUGCCGCGUGAAUGAAGAAGGCCUUCGGGUUGUAAAGUUCUUUCGGUGAUGAGGAAGGUGUUUGUUUUAAUAGAACAAGCAAUUGACGUUAGUCACAGAAGAAGCACCGGCUAACUCCGUGCCAGCAGCCGCGGUAAUACGGAGGGUGCGAGCGUUAAUCGGAAUGACUGGGCGUAAAGGGCACGCAGGCGGUGACUUAAGUGAGAUGUGAAAGCCCCGAGCUUAACUUGGGAAUUGCAUUUCAUACUGGGUCGCUAGAGUAUUUUAGGGAGGGGUAGAAUUCCACGUGUAGCGGUGAAAUGCGUAGAGAUGUGGAGGAAUACCGAAGGCGAAGGCAGCCCCUUGGGAAUAUACUGAACGCUCAUGUGCGAAAGCGUGGGGAGCAAACAGGAUUAGAUACCCUGGUAGUCCACGCUAUAGACGCUGUCGAUUUGGGGAUUGGGCUUAGAGCUUGGUGCCCGUAGCU